GCCUACGACCAUCUCACCCUGAAUGCGCCCGAUUUCGUCUGAUCUCGGAAGCUAAGCAGAGUCGAGCCUGGUUAGUUCUUGGAUGGGAGACUGCCUGGGAAUACCAGGUGUUGUAGGCU
rnacentral:rRNA from 1 species